GACAAACUGAAUUAAUGUUUCUUUACCCAAAAUUAAGCCGGCACACUGAGAAAUCAGAAAUCAAUCAAGUAAGCAAGUAAAUAACUCUAAAUUGGCAUCUUAAUAAAGAUAAUAAUAAUAACUGAAUUCAGUUUUAUUUUAUUAUAUUUAUAUAUCACCAAAUCACAACAGCAAUUGCCUCAAGGCACAAUAAUAUGCUUGACUAUUUUUCCGACUAUUUUGUAAAAAUGUAAAUAAAAAAAAUUGUGGAUAAAACAUCAAUAAUAUUUUUGCAGUAAAAAUAUUAUUUUAUUUAAAUAGCCUGCAUAUACUGCUCAGUUAACCAUUACAGAAAACCCAAAAAGGAUUCCUUUAAUUAUCAACACUGUCAAUAUUUGGGAUAAAACUUUCAUUGAGGAGCGGACAAAUACAUUUGCUAAGAACUGUUUACCAAUCGAAACAAGACACCCUUCAGCCCAAUUAGCUUAAAAUCUAAAGUGAUACAUGUUGUUUUUUACUAUGUCAAAAAACAAUUAAGCUAGUUUUCGUGAUUUCAUGAUUUUAGAACACUUAACCCCUUUGAAGCAAAUAUGUGAUUUCUUUGUCAUAUUGGCCAUGAGAGAUGUCCAAGUGCUAUUGUCCAUAAACGGGGGGAAUGGUGUGUAUGAUUGUGGAAAUCAGUGUAUUCGGAAAAUGGGGACAGAGCGUCGUCUUUGAUAGCUUCUUACCCAACCAGUGGAAGCUUCAAUGCAGAAUGAUUCCUGCUCCUAUAGCCGUUCAUUGGCUCGCCAUCCUUUUCCAUACCCAAAAAGGUUCACCUGGCCUGCAUUAAAUAAACAAGGCCAAUAAGAAAUCACAAGAAUAAUACAAAAAUGUCAGCCAGUUAAGCUAAAAUACAUUAAGUUAUUCCUGUUUACACAACUUAUAAAUAGAUAAACAAACAGUAUAUUUAACCAAUAAGGAUUUAACUAAAACAUUUCAACUGCUAUCCGGUUGUUCAGUGAUGACGCGACGAAUCCUACUUCCGGGUCUAAAGUAGUCUGCGUUUAAUAUGGCUUUUGUGUUGUUAACAUGUUUAAUGUUAUGUAUUUUCUUCUAUUUGAUCUUAAAAAGCUCCUAAAACAGUCAGUGAUCACUGUUAACCUCCCUCGGCUUUUAUUACCGCUAAUCAUUUAUUUAAGCUCAGUUUUUAAAACCUUAGGAUGUAACUACAGCCCAGCCCAUGCAGCAGUAUAUGAAUGACUAACUUCGUAUUGUGGAUGGAUUAUCUCAGUUGUUCUCCUGGCUGAAGUUUGGUCCUUUUACAGCAUCCUGCCAUGCGAUUACAUUUGUUCCUGACCACGAGAACACUCACGUUAACUUUUAUCGAGUGGGGAAAAAAGUUAGCUUGUUUAUAUUAUGCUAACAUAGCUGUGUCGCUAGCGGUCACGUAGCACAUCAUUAUAUACCAGCUAGCCAAACUUCAGUAACCCUACAAACGUCACUGCUGUUUAGUUUUCUGUCUUCAUUUAUGCUGGAAGUGAUAGCAGAGCUGUACGUUUUAAUUUGUUUCCAAAACCCUGCAGUCAGGACAUGCUAUAUUGUAUUUAGAUAGAAGCUAGCGAGCUAACUCCCUGCUAACUUCUAACUCCGUUAAAUGUCAUAAAUUCCGUUUUCAUGGAUGCCUGAAUGUUAAACUCAAUUGUUACACCUGGUAGAGCAG
ensembl:lncRNA